UCCAAACAACUAUACUAGGAAGAGAGGAUUUGAACCUCCAUCUAAGAGUCCAAAACUCUUUGUAUGCCCAAU
rnacentral:tRNA from 1 species